GUUGGUUGAGCAGAAAGGACUGUGGGGGAAGUGAGGAGACAGUUGGAGAGAGAAGGGUUAGGGAUGAGAAAGCAUAGUGGAGCUCGGAGGGGGCACUGGCUUCAGAAGGAUGAUCAAUACGAGAUCAAAGGAGCAACUCAAGGGGCUACCAAGAAUACCACAGUGGUGCAAAGUCAUUGAAACCCUGGCUGACUUGAAAGAGAAGUCACAGUGACAUUGAAAACCAGCCAGAUGAUGGCAGACAGCUGUCUUCUCAGGGACACAGAGAGGAGCCUGGCAGGCCCUGAGUGAGCAGGUUGACAUGUGAUGGUAAACGCACAGGGCGUGGGUCUUGGAGCAGUUCUGCUGGCGCCAUGAAUCAAGCUUCUGUGUGCUGCUUCCGCUCCUUGGUGUGCAUGGCUGGAGAGGACCAGGAGGAGACAGAGGAUGAGGUCUCCCACCAGGAGCUGUGAGCCUCCAGGGCUGGGCCUGGGGACACCUGUUCCUGAGAGAGAUUGGGGGCAGUGACUGGCUUCUGGGAAGUGCCUGGGAUCUGCAGGACACCACCUUGGCCCUGGCCUGGAGGCGUCCACAUCCUUGUGCACAUCCACAUCCGGGUCUGCCUCCAGGGGCAGCAGUGGGGAGCGCUGGCUGGGGUCUCCAGGGACGUCUUUUGGCUCAGCCUCUGUGCUUCCUGUGUGAGCCACGUGGAAAACCACUGGGUCAGAGCAUUCCUGGGGUGGCCAGGGUCCCACUGCAGGUUCCUGGAAUGGUCUCUGAACCCAGAGAGCCAGGGUGUUCCUGUGGCCUCGACACAUGCUAGCUGUGUCACAUAGGAAGAGUUGUCUAAUCCACCCUGUGGCCCAAUCUGAGAUCACAACAGUCCCAACUUGAUUGGAUGGCUGUGCGAUUUAAAUGGCGUGAUGUGUGUGAACAGUUCUUUUGAACAGGGUUCCUUUUAUUUAUAAAAAUAUGGAAAAGCAGUUGGGCUAAUCCCUAAAGAGGACACGACCUCAAUAUCCCUGAGUGUCUUCAGAUUGAGAGGUGUUGAUGAGUGGACAUGAGGGAUUCAUGAACUCUCUCAAACCCGAAGUCUCCAUAUUUACAACCAUAGUAAAUGCAUUGCUCCCCCUGCCCCCCGGGAUGGGACCUGUAACUUAGCUAGGAUGCUAAGAGGGCUGAUAACUCCAAGUGGAUACCCAGGGAUCUCAAAUGUCUGUAUUCUAGACCACAGUUGCUUAGUCUUGGCAAUGUUGAAAUUUGGGGCCAAAUGAUAUUUUGUCAUGUGUGUGGGGCUUUCCUGUGUCUCGUUGGGUGAGCGGCAGCAUCCCUGGGUCUACUCCCUAGAUGCCAGCAGCACUUCCCCACCCUACCCCUGCCCUGUGUUUAACAAUGAGAAUUGUCUCCAGACCUUACUAAAUGUCCCCAGAGAGGGAGAGUGGGACAAAAAUCAUCCCAGACGGAGAACUGCUGGCUCGCCAUGUUCCCUGUGGGGUGGGCCUUCUGGAAGUGGUUGUAGCCUGCUGUGGCAAAAUGUAACAACCUCUCUUUUUCUGAGCCCUGCUAAUCUCUGCCUACUUCUGUCCACUGAUCGGAGGACCCAGAGAGAGUCCUGGGAAAGCACUACAGACUUUCCAAACUCCAGCCCUGUUUGAAAUAAAGCAGUGGUUUUCACACCUGGCUGGGGAGCCAAGUCACACGGAACAGUUCUUAUUACUCAAACUUCAAGUUGUUUUUUUCCCCCACAGCAUUAAAUGCAACAUAGAUUUUAUACACCUUAAACUGUCAGGUAAAAGAUGAGCUGCAGUGAAAAUGGAACAAGGAAUUCCAAUGAAACAAGAUCUUGAGGUGACUGUCUUUGUUUCGAGAUAGACCCAAGAGUUAGUGAAUCCUUGCUCAGGAAGACACCAGAGAAGGCUCCUAUGGACAGCGCUUGGCAGGAAACAAAGUGGGGAGAAGAGGUGGAAGCACUUGAGGUGCUCCCUAUUUAAGUGGUGGUUUGAGUGCACUCUGAGAAAAGGGCCGGCCAAACUCCUUUUGGGGCCCUUAUAUUGGUUUUUGAUGCUUUUUAUUAUGUUGAAUUAUCCUCCCUAGACGAGUCAGGGUCUGCUCUUCUCUUGUGUGGCUUCUUAUACAUCAGUGCUGUCAUCUCCCCAGUAAUCCCAUCUCUGGGAUGUGCUGGUGUUCAGGAUCAAAGCGUGCUCCUCCAUUCCUGGAAGCUUUUUGCCUAAUCUCCUUGGGGAGCUUACUUUAGUGCAGGCCUGCAGUGGUGGGUUUACAGCACAGUAGCUUCUCCCUGCCUCUGAUACAUGGGGCAGAGCAAUGGAAUAAAGCCUUGGAAAUGUGGUUGGUGCAACAAAAGCUCCUCUGGGUCUUAGCAUAAGGGAACCAGGUAUGAGCUUUUGCCUUGAGUCGGUCAAAGACCACAGGUGUAAACUAAGAGCAUGCAAUUGAGUUCUCAGGGGUGUAUUUCACUACUGAGUAUGGUCAUGCGGGCCUCCUUUUUGAUUUUGUGGAUGUGGGCCAUCAUUUACACAACUGACCCUGUGAUUGACACUGAGGAUUCUACCCAGUGUCUUGCAAUAGUGUGACCAUGUCACAACGAAUGUAGCACACAUAGAUGUAUUGGGGUGGGUAAGGCGCAUGUACUCCAGCAGUGCUGCUGGCUGCUCUAUAUGUUGAAGGGGCUGUCUGCAGAGCAAGUGCGGCUGUCACCGUGGAACUCUUUGUACGAUGAUCACAUGCAUACUGCAGGUCAUCACAGAUGUGUGGUAUCGGAGUCUGACUUUCUAUUUGAAUGUGAUAAUCCGCAGAGCUGAGGUAUCGGGCUUGGAAGUCACUGUACAUGGCUCUUCUGGGAAAACAUUUCUUAAAACUGGGCAUACUGCACAGAGCAUUGCUGUGGUACAAACCUUCAGUAACAGUGUGCAGCCCUCUCGCACUGUGCUUGAGAACAUCCUUCUCUCUUCUGGUGCAGCCCCAAGCCCAUGAUUCUCUCUUAGAAGAGCCAAGGAUGGAUGCUGAGGACCAGAGGAAGCUGAUGUUUGGACUGACCUGAGAUUUUGCCCCCUUCAGGAGCUGCACUGCUUCCUCUUUGACACUCUGGCAUAGUGGUUUUUAUGCACUUUAUCUGCAGAAGCAAAGAGUUUCAGCAAAGCACAGGGAAGAGGUCACGAGAGGCCUCAGGUGAGCCCCAGACAAGGUGUGGCGCUUCCUCAGCAGUGCUGUCCUCUGUCCAUGCUCAGCACUCCAGUGAGGGGGACUCAUUGCUGUGGUCAGAAGAAACAGCUUGGGCGGGGGGUAGUCUGUAUGCUGGUCAAAACACUUUGUUUUUUUAAUAACAAACCUCAGGCCAUGGUUCGCAUGUAUCAUCUUGGGUAAACAGAUGUUCUUAUUUAGGAAAGCACAGAUUGUGUCUUCUCAGGACAGUUUGAAGGGAGCAGUGGGUGGAAGCAAGGGAGGUGCAGGAAGUCCUCCUGUCGGGGUGAUGGUCUUUCUGGUGAGGACAGCCAUAUGGGUCUUGAUCACAAGACUUGCGGAAAUGUAGAUGGGUAGCCUGUGGCAUCUAGCUUUUCGGAGGAGAAGAGUUUCUUGUACCUGUUGGUGGGCUCCCUGCUUGUGGCAGAUAGGAAGUGUGUGGGGCUUCCGGUCUUGAAGAGAGAGACUGCAGAUUGGUUGGGUGGUGGUCCUGGGGAGACGCCCCACUCUGGGGCUUGGCCAGAACUCUGAGGGGGUAUAGGACACCUUCAGGAAGUCUAUAAUGACUGCUGGUGCUCAGAGCUGCUCUGGGGCACAAUUGUUGAAUGGUCCUUUUUGUGUUCUAAGUUGGAAGUUCCCAUCUUCCGUGUGGCAAGAGCUCUUCGACCCUCCUGUGCCAGGAAGCAGAGUUCCUGGGUGCUCCCGUCAAGACCGGACCAGUGAAUUCUAUCAGACCUUUCUUGUUUUCCUAACUUAUUCUCCGGGUCUUGGGUCUGAUCUUUGUUCAUUCUCACUCCCACAAGCAGCUUCUUCUCUUUCUUUUUCCUGGCCAGCUGUCUGCUGCCAACGCCACUUGCUCCCAGUGGCCUCCCCAGGGGUUGGCACAGUUUUGCCUGCACUUUCCAAAUGAAAAUCGCCACUGCAGAAAAAGCACCAGGCCUCCUUUCUUCCUUUGCUCGAUCCUCCAGGUCUUGCUGAGUUGACUGAGCUUCUCAUUCUGGGCUGGAAGGCUGAAUCUUUUUUGUGGCUGCUUUGUCUCUUUCUGACCUUGUUUUGUGUUGCAGAAGCUUGACUUGCUGCUCAUACCCCCUCACAACCUGCCCCGAAUGGUAUUUUAUUUAACAGAGAGCAAGGACUUCGUACAUAUCCAUUAUCAGUGCCUUGGAAACAAAACAACUUUAGAAGUUAGCAGCAGUUUCUGCAAAUAUAAAAAUACACAUUUAUUAUAUCACAUGUGGCAAUAAAAUUUAUCCAGCUCCCGCUUCAUCCAUACAGCUUGCUGUCCACAUCUUAAAGUGAUUGUUAAUUUGAUUUUGACUAAUAAGCAGGUCAUUGAAUAAGGAAAGAUGCUACUUCUGCCUUUUUGAGUUCUACCUGACCGUCAGUCAGAGUCUUCCUGUAGCACACAAAUGAUGACUGAAAUGUACAGAGUCCAUGCUAGCAUAAGGACUUUCUCAAGUGCUCGGCUGUUUUUGGAGGGUAUUAUCCAAGAUAAGAGACAGAGCACACCUCCUUUCUGGUAGUGUUUUCAUUUUCUUCUUGUUGCCCGGGCCUCCUGUCAGUGAGGAGGAGUGGGUGCUAUCCCCUUAGAAUCUCCUGCUGAGGGGACAUUACUUCCAUGCAGAAAAUCUUCAAGUAAGUCCAAGCUCAGGAGGAGGCUACAUGGUCACAUCCCCUGGAGGGACGAAGACGAGGUAGUUGAGGCAUGGCUGCCAUGUCAGGAGGGCGACCCGCCUCCCAUCAGGGCCCUGCGCUCUGGGCUGGAGGUGAGUGCAGUGCGACUGCCAGUCCUGGAUGGACUUCUAAAGGCUUGUGUGAGGUUUCUCUUGGCUAUGCUCCUGUCCUGCGGUUCCUGCAAUGGCACAGUGAUACCUCAUCUCUCUGUUGGGAGGGGAACAGGGUGCCUGUUUGGAAAGACAGUGGACAAUGUUCGCUUGGGAUCAUGAUCUGACUUGUCAGGUUUCGUAUUUUGUCACCCUGAAAUUCAACUGUUUUCUGACCAUGUUGAAUGCCAAGGGAAUGUGCAUGUACAGAGUGGUGUGAGCAACAACUGGUGGGACUAGAAGGUGGAGGUGUUUAACACUCACUCCAAUCUCUUGUUGGUUGGGGGAUAUCCUGGGGGGGUGUGGGGGGGAUGGUGCUGCAGAUCUCUGGCUGCUGGCCUGUUUGACCAUUUCUCUCUCCGCCUUCAUUCUUGCCUUUGGCUCUUUACCUCCUUAACAACAAACCAGGCUGUGGUUCUCACUGCUCUGUCUUCGAUGAAACCUCCCAUCUUCUUAAGAGUCCUGACUUCAGUGAUAUUUGUGGCACUCAGUACUGAGAAAAAUCAUAUAGGAGAGGAAGUCUGGAGGAGUCCCUUCCUCAGGCCUUCCAGAGGAUCACAAGGUGAGAUGGGGAGUCCCUUCCCUAGGCUGCCUCUCUGGGAACAGCUUGUACCCCCUUGGCUUAUCCUUUCUGCCUAUUGCAGGAAGCCCAGGGUAAUGCCCCCCAUGUCCCACAGUCACCAUGUCAGAAGCAAGAUGGGGUUCUCAAGCGUCCCCAGUUGCAGUGAACUCCAGGGGUUUUUCUGAUUUAGAGAAUGGGUUAGUGACUAGGAAGGACUCUUAACAACUUUCCUUUGGUUUUUAAAAUUAGCAUUCAGAAACCUUGAUUAUAUUUUCCUCUCUGACAAAUCGUAGCAAUUGCCUCUGAGGGGAGUUGGUGAGAAUUUUAGGUGGCUUUGUAGCAUUUACUAAGACAGAUCUGUCUGUCCCCUGUUCACAUCAGAGGUGUUAGGGCUGUCGGGCUGGCUAUCGGGGGCUCAUUUCUCUGUCUGCAUUCAAGAGGGGCAGGCUGGCCUCAGGAAUCUGCACCCUGAAAUUGGUGCGGUCACGUACGUCACGGGCUUGGUUUAAUUCUCUGCUGUUCCUGACUUGAAAUUCUUUUUUUUUGGUACCGGGGAUUGAACUCAGGUCCUUGCACUUGCGCAGCAGGCAGUGAAACCACUGAGCUAAAUCCCCGGCCCAUGACUUGAAAUUCUUAAUUUCUGAAUGGGGUCCCACCUCUUCCUUUAGCGCAGGACCCUACAAAUCACUCCCUUGGCUCUGAAGGGGCUGGCUCAGAGCAGAAGUGGGUCCAUGCUGGAUUACUGAGGGAAGCUGUGAGGAAGGCAGCCCUCAGGAAUGGAGGGAGAAGGAGCUGUCAGGGUGAGUUGAGAACAGAGAGGAAGUGGUGGACAAUGAGACUAAGGGGCUGUCAGAACAGGAUGGGCAGGACGGACGAGAGGCCGCAUGGGAUUCCAGAAGGCAAGGAUUUUGGUGCUGUGAUCUGCUGAUCAACAGGCGGGGCUCUGUGGGGCCGGAUCACUCUGACCCUCAGCGUGUGCGUGCAAUGCAUGGCCUGUAGCAAUGCUCAAAAAAAAAAAGUUCUUAGUGAACAGCUUCAUGUCUGAGGUGAAUGUGUUUCUCUGACAAGCAGCAAGUGGUACUGACCUUGUGGAUGACUUAGUCUUUGGAGGAGUUUUCUUCUCUUGGCUUCUGCUAUACCCUCUCUCCCACUCUGCAUUCUUUGGGUCCCUUCCAAGUCCAAUUUUCGUCCAUCCCCGUCACCUUGGGUUUUGUGGCUUUCUCACUCACGUACCUUAAAAUGUCCACUGAAAGCACGACACUGUUGUGCUGACCACUUCCGUCACUUCCAGCCUAUUUCUGCAUUAUUUGUGGCGCUCCCCACCCAGCCAACACUCCCACUCUAUCUGCACAAUGGAACAGAUCCUUUGGUCAAGGUAAGUGGUCUAUAAAUAGCCCAUCGGCUUUCAUCACCACUCCUACCAGAAUAUCCUAUCCAGCCCAAACCGGCUCCCCUGUCCUGGGUGCUGCUCCUCGGAGCCAACUCUCCUGGCUCUUACUUCCUGCGGGUUUGCUGGGAAAAAAAAAAAAAAUCCCAGGAUGAGACCUGGGCAGGAAGGCAAGAUGCUGGGAGCCCAGGGGAGGGGCUCUGUGGAGUGUCGGCAUCAACUUUGUCCUGGGCACUUGGGGCUCUUGGAGCCAGCAGGGUUGGGGAGCUAACAGGAUUCUUUUUAGGGGGAAGGCAUGGAACUCCAGCGCAGAGGGUUGAAUUAAGCACACAGUUCAUGCCAGAUUGUGAUCCAUGGUUGGUUUCUCAUUCCUGUACCUAUCUUGCCAUCCACUGUAGGAAACUGAUCUGUUAUCUCACUGUAUAUCUUUCUUUACUGCUGUAACAAAGAGCGCUAUUUGUGUACGGACACCUUUAAUUCACAUAGAUAGUGUUGUUCUACCACUUCUGAUUCUCUUUUCUUUCUCACUCGGCUAUGUUUUAAGAUAGGCCCUUCCCCUGUAUAGGCUUAAAACUUCCUGAAAUUACCCAAAGAGCUUUUGUUUAUGUGGGUUAAGCCUAUUGAUAUUUGCUGCAUUAGAAAUUAAAAGGGAGACAUUUAAAAUAUUUAUUUGCUGAUCCAUUUGAAAGUAGCAAUGUGGAACACAUUGCAUGUUAACAUAAAUAAGGUUUUAGCUAGAUUAUAAAAAUAGUCUUGCCCUUGGAGAAUCCCUGUCCUAAUUUUCAGUGUGUUCCACAAUAUAAAAGAGCACCAUGAAGGACAAAACCUAGGAAGUAAAUUUUAUUUUUGUUGCUUUAUAAUACCUAUGUUAAGAAACUGAAAUGGGUUAAAUUUUAGUCAACUCUGCUCAAGUUUGUGGGCCUUGCCCUCUUAGCUACUGAUUGGUACCAUUGCCUGUAAUAGGAAAGACUGUCUGGAUAGCAGAAAUUCUAUCUUACUAGAAUACUUUUUGGUGUUUUAUGUUGAAUUUGUCAUGUCCUAGAAUAGAUUAUUUUAAAACACAAAGAACAAAAAUUUUUCGUGUAAGAGGAAACUAUAUGUAUAGUUCUAUUUAUUUCACUUAUUUUGCAAGCCAUGCUUAUGUAGGCAGCUUUUAUUUAAAGGCUGAGAUACUGCAGUUUUUGAAGAGUGCAGGUCCAUGGUUUUCAGUAUAUUAUUGGGCUAUGCAAACAUUAUCACUUUCUAAUUCUAAUUGUAAAAUAUUUUCCAAAAUGAAAUUUCAUAUUUUCUUCCUACCCUCAGCCUGUGGCAACCCCAAUCUACUUUCUGUCUCUAUGCUUUUGCCUAUUCUGGACAUGUUAUACAAAUGGGAUUAUAUAAUGAAAAGCUUUUAUAUCUGGUUCCUCUUAAUUGGUGUAAUGUUUUCAAGGUUCAUUCAUGACAUUGCAUGGAUCAGUACUUCAUUCCAUUGAUAGCUGAGUAAUAUUCCACUGUAUGGAUAUACCUCAGUGUAUUUCUCCAUCACUGGAUGGGCACUGGAUUGUUUUUAUUUUUUGGCCAUUAUGAAUAAUGCUAAGAAUGUAUACAAGUUUUUAUAUGGAUGUGUUUUUGAUACUCUUGGAUAUGUUUAUUUUUAAAUGUUUCCUUAUCAGUUAAAUGGAUAACCGAGGCUUGUGUCUUCGACACCCAUGACCAUGUGUUAACCUGGUGUCCAAUUCUCCUGACAACUGUUCAGGUCUUGCCUUCCCAAGACAGAUAUAAAGAAAUGAAGGAAAUUGCAGGAUAUUCUCGUACCUAUAAUGAAUGACCUUUGAGAUUUCCCAGCAAAGCCCUGGAAAAUCACAAAGAUUUGUUCUUUCACAAAGAGAUAUUAGAAGUAAUUGUUUGAUUUGUCUGUACUAUAAGAUCUACAUGAAGGGGCUGGGGACUUAGUCAGUGGUUCUGCUGUCUGCCUCGCAAGUGCAAGGUCCUGAGUUCAAUCCCCGGUACAAAAAAAAAAAAAACAACUCUACGUGAGAAGAGUUGUCAGAUCAGAACAGAUGUUCAGCCUUGCUCAGGUUAAACUUAUGCAGGCCAAAUGGUAUUAAUAAAUGAUUAAAUAUUUUAGAAAUUGGGCCGGGGGGAUGUAGCUCAGUGGUUCUGCCACCUGCCUCGCAAGCACAAGGUCCAGAGUUUGAUCCCCAUUACCAAAAAAAAAAAAUUUUAGAAAUUGUAUGUUCUAUGGGAAGUCAAAUCCCUCACUGCCCAUAUUUUUACUCUCAGGAGACACACUGAUAGAGAAAUUUAUUCUCAUAUUAUUAGUCAUAGUAAUAAAUUAACCAUGGUCAUGAAGUCUCUGUUUACAGGUAGUGCUUUGAUUGUUUUCAUGUUUACCUGAAGGCUUUUUUCUGAGCUACAGGCUGCAGCUGUGUCUUCAAUGGAAAAGGACACAAAGGCUCUUGGUAAAUGACUGUGGCAGGGAGCUCAAACUGUCCCCAUGUUAAAGAACAGACUCAUGUGUAUUGGCUUCUGAGCUGACAUCACUUAAGCAACUCUCAGAUUAUCCCCACAGAUUGAGUCAGGAUUUCCAGAAUAUUUCCUAAUCCAGAAGCAGACUACUUUCCUGAGAGCAGACUGCUAAUCCAAGAUCCAGUAGAGCUAGAAGUCAUUCCACAGAACAGCAUGAAGUGAUGCAGGAAUGUCAUUUUGGUUGUUUAUUUAAACUGUUGUUAAUGUUGCUUUAAAGUGUUCUAUUUUGGGGCAGAGGGGGCCUCUUCUCUUUUUAGAUCCCUGUAACCCACAACAAUUUUGUGGA